UUCAACAUAUUUUAACUUAUUUCAGGAAAAAUUAAGUUCAAAUAAAUUAAGAUAAUAUCGAAUAAAAUAGUUUAGUUAAGAUAAGAUAAGUUGAAUGAUACGGGAUAACUAUGUUAGGCAACACAAUAAACUAGAAUAUAUUCUAUAAUAUAAGAUAAGAUAUCCCCUAAAAAAAUAUAAGAUAAAAUAAGUUCAUAUAACGUAAAAUAAUUUCAGAUAACAUAAGAUACAUGACACAACAAGAAUCCGCCUUUUUAGCGUCUGAAUUUAGCGUCCGACGAUGCAAACGGACGGUAAAGGUGAAAUUAGCGUCCGAUAAAAGACAGAUGCAAAUUAGCGUCCGCUUUCUGAAAUUUAGCGUCCGUUCUUUUUAGCGGACGCUAUGUAGCGUCCGUUUACUUAAAAUACCGUCCGAAAGACGGACGCUAAAUAAGAGGUAUAAAUAAAUAAAAAAAUACCACCAAUCGACCAAACUAUCAACCCUAACCCACACCUCUCUCUUCCUCACUCUCAUCUCACGUUUCUAUCUCUUCCUCACUCUCAUCUCACAUUUUUGUGCUCUCUCCUUCUUUCAGAUCUCACGAAAUCAGCAUCCGUUUUCCACUUUUGUCUUUCAAGAUGAUGAGUAAGAGCAAUUUCAAGAUAGUAUCAAAUCAAGAGAUUGAAGUUGCGGCAUCUGGGAAAUAUUGGAAAGGCUCAGGCUUCAAGAUGAUGCUCAUAAACGUGGUUCCCGGUUCUUGACGGGACCAUCUGGACGCUCUUGGCAUGACUCAAAUGAAGGGUAGGUUUGCAUAUAUGUAGGCUGUAGCAAAGAAUGCUGCAGGAAUCAGAUUGAUGUACCACAGCUGAAAAUGUCAGCCAAGACAAGGAUGAGAAUAGGUGGCUGGCGCGGUGGAGGGGUGGCUGAUGCGGAGGAGAUGUGGUUGAUGCGCUGGUGAGGUUUCUGGUGGUGCGGUGGCUGGCCCGGUGGUGCAGUACCUCGGCAUUGGCAGUGGCUAGGACUAGUAUUAGAUUGAAGUUGUUGUAUUAGAUUUUAGUUACAAUGUAAUUAUACUAUUAUAGUACUAAAUUUUGGUAUUAGAUUGUAAUUAUAUAUUUAAUUUAAAUAAAAUUUUCAUUUGUUUAA